rnacentral:RNase_P_RNA from 17 species
CCAGUCGGCCGGAUGGCCGCCGCCUCAGGGCGGAGGAAAGUCCGGGCUCCACAGAGAAACGGUGCCGGAUAACGUCCGGCGGGGGCGACCCUAGGGAAAGCGCCACAGAAAACAGACCGCCAUCCGGCUUGCGCCGGAGGUAAGGGUGAAACGGUGCGGUAAGAGCGCACCGCGCGCAUGGCGACAUGAGCGGCACGGCAAGCCCCACCGGGAGCAAAACCGAAUAGGGGCGACGCGGGGCGCAGGCCCCAGAUCCUUCUCUGGAUCGUCGCCCGGGUUGGUUGCUCGAGGCGGCCGGUAACGGCCGUCCCAGAGGAAUGGCCAUCGCGCGCCGCGGACUCCGCGGCGCCUUACAGAACCCGGCUUAAAGGCCGGCUGGCGCC